rnacentral:rRNA from 1 species
AACCGAGAACUCCUACGGGAGGCAGCAGUGGGGAAUAUUGGACAAUGGGCGAAAGCCUGAUCCAGCCAUGCCGCGUGUGUGAAGAAGGUCUUCGGAUUGUAAAGCACUUUAAGUUGGGAGGAAGGGCAUUAACCUAAUACGUUAGUGUCUUGACGUUACCGACAGAAUAAGCACCGGCUAACUCUGUGCCAGCAGCCGCGGUAAUACAGAGGGUGCAAGCGUUAAUCGGAAUUACUGGGCGUAAAGCGCGCGUAGGUGGUUUGUUAAGUUGAAUGUGAAAUCCCCGGGCUCAACCUGGGAACUGCAUCCAAAACCGGCAAGCUAGAGUAUGGUAGAGGGUAGUGGAAUUUCCUGUGUAGCGGUGAAAUGCGUAGAUAUAGGAAGGAACACCAGUGGCGAAGGCGACUACCUGGACUGGUACUGACACUGAGGUGCGAAAGCGUGGGGAGCAAACAGGAUUAGAUACCCUAGUAGUCCGACUGAGA